CAAGUCGAACGCUUUGUGGUUCAACUGAUUUGAAGAGCUUGCUCAGAUAUGACGAUGGACAUUGCAAAGAGUGGCGAACGGGUGAGUAACACGUGGGAAACCUACCUCUUAGCAGGGGAUAACAUUUGGAAACAGAUGCUAAUACCGUAUAACAAUGACAACCGCAUGGUUGUUAUUUAAAAGAUGGUUCUGCUAUCACUAAGAGAUGGUCCCGCGGUGCAUUAGCUAGUUGGUAAGGUAAUGGCUUACCAAGGCGAUGAUGCAUAGCCGAGUUGAGAGACUGAUCGGCCACAAUGGGACUGAGACACGGCCCAUACUCCUACGGGAGGCAGCAGUAGGGAAUCUUCCACAAUGGGCGAAAGCCUGAUGGAGCAACGCCGCGUGUGUGAUGAAGGGUUUCGGCUCGUAAAACACUGUUGUAAGAGAAGAAUGACAUUGAGAGUAACUGUUCAAUGUGUGACGGUAUCUUACCAGAAAGGAACGGCUAAAUACGUGCCAGCAGCCGCGGUAAUACGUAUGUUCCAAGCGUUAUCCGGAUUUAUUGGGCGUAAAGCGAGCGCAGACGGUUAUUUAAGUCUGAAGUGAAAGCCCUCAGCUCAACUGAGGAAUUGCUUUGGAAACUGGAUGACUUGAGUGCAGUAGAGGAAAGUGGAACUCCAUGUGUAGCGGUGAAAUGCGUAGAUAUAUGGAAGAACACCAGUGGCGAAGGCGGCUUUCUGGACUGUAACUGACGUUGAGGCUCGAAAGUGUGGGUAGCAAACAGGAUUAGAUACCCUGGUAGUCCACACCGUAAACGAUGAGUGCUAGGUGUUUGAGGGUUUCCGCCCUUAAGUGCCGCAGCUAACGCAUUAAGCACUCCGCCUGGGGAGUACGACCGCAAGGUUGAAACUCAAAGGAAUUGACGGGGACCCGCACAAGCGGUGGAGCAUGUGGUUUAAUUCGAAGCAACGCGAAGAACCUUACCAGGUCUUGACAUCCCUUGACAACUCCAGAGAUGGAGUGUUCCCUUCGGGGACAAGGUGACAGGUGGUGCAUGGUUGUCGUCAGCUCGUGUCGUGAGAUGUUGGGUUAAGUCCCGCAACGAGCGCAACCCUUAUUACUAGUUGCCAGCAUUCAGUUGGGCACUCUAGUGAGACUGCCGGUGACAAACCGGAGGAAGGUGGGGAUGACGUCAAAUCAUCAUGCCCCUUAUGACCUGGGCUACACACGUGCUACAAUGGCGUAUACAACGAGUUGCCAACCCGCGAGGGUGAGCUAAUCUCUUAAAGUACGUCUCAGUUCGGAUUGUAGGCUGCAACUCGCCUACAUGAAGUCGGAAUCGCUAGUAAUCGCGGAUCAGCACGCCGCGGUGAAUACGUUCCCGGGUCUUGUACACACCGCCCGUCACACCAUGAGAGUUUGUAACACCCAAAGCCGGUGGGGUAACCUUCGGGAGCCAGCCGUCUAAG
rnacentral:rRNA from 1 species